CAAUAGCGUAUAUUUAAGUUGUUGCAGUUAAAAAGCUCGUAGUUGGAUUUCGGGUGGGACGCAGCGGUCUCGCAUUGCGUUUGUACUGCUGCAGCCCUCCUUCUUGCCGGGGGCGGCCUCUCGGACUUCACUGUCUGGGGGUCAGAAUCGGCGAUGUUACUUUGAGUAAAUUAGAGUGUUCAAAGCAAGCUUACGCUCUGAAUAUAAUAGCAUGGGAUAACACGACAGGACUCUGGCCUAUCGUGUUGGUCUAUAGGACCAUAGUAAUGAUUAAGAGGGACAGUCGGGGGCAUUCGUAUUCCGUUGUCAGAGGUGAAAUUCUUGGAUUUACGGAAGACGAACAUCUGCGAAAGCAUUUGCCAAGGAUGUUUUCAUUGA
rnacentral:rRNA from 1 species